UUUAUUUGGAACUUGAAAAACA
rnacentral:snRNA from 1 species